rnacentral:lncRNA from 1 species
UGCUAUGGGCCCUCUUAUGGGCAUCUUCUUUACUGAUGUGAGGUAUCACAUCAGUACCUCUUCUCCUUCAUUUGAUUGGGUUGCGAAGAUAAUUUGAUCGGAGUUCAUCCCGCUUUUCUGUGACGUCUGGCGUGUAUGCGAAGUAGAGAGUCUGCACUUUCAGACCUCCGUGAAGGAUUAUUUUAGAUUUUUAGAGAUUUGAUCUUCUAUUCUAUUAUUAAAU